GACGAACGCUGGCGGCGUGCCUAACACAUGCAAGUCGAGCGAAUGAAGUUUCUUCGGGAACGGAUUUAGCGGCGGACGGGUGAGUAACACGUGGGCAACCUGCCUCAUAGAGGGGAAUAGCCUUCCGAAAGGGAGAUUAAUACCGCAUAAGAUUGUAGUACCGCAUGGUACAGCAAUUAAAGGAGCAAUCCGCUAUGAGAUGGGCCCGCGGCGCAUUAGCUAGUUGGUGAGGUAACGGCUCACCAAGGCGACGAUGCGUAGCCGACCUGAGAGGGUGAUCGGCCACAUUGGGACUGAGACACGGCCCAGACUCCUACGGGAGGCAGCAGUGGGGAAUAUUGCACAAUGGGGGAAACCCUGAUGCAGCAACGCCGCGUGAGUGAUGACGGCCUUCGGGUUGUAAAGCUCUGUCUUCAGGGACGAUAAUGACGGUACCUGAGGAGGAAGCCACGGCUAACUACGUG
rnacentral:rRNA from 1 species